AACAGAAACGCCAGCAGGUGGCGCUCUUGACCGGCCUGUCUCAUUACUGCAGACUGGCCUAUGGUAUGAGCCCGAUAAUUAUUUUAGCUUUAAGUGUACCUUAUUUGGUCCCAACAUGUUUAAAAUGUUACUUCUGUCUGUUACAGCAGCACAUACAUCCACAGAAUAUUGACACGAGUGUCGCAGGAUGAUGUGUUUGCUGCAGAUGCCAUUUAAAAAUAUAGGCAGUGUAAGCACUGUAGAAUCUAAUUAUUUCUUUGCAAAACCUAAUUAGGCAUUAAAAAAGGUUAACGCCAGCGCCUGAAACGUUUUUGUUUAAUAAUCCCAUUACUGCCGGCUCAUCAUGUAUAAAAUGGUGCAGGAGGACACUAUGUUUCCACUCCUUUAUGGGAAUCUCUGAGAAAUAGUCGCAGAUUUUUUGACUCUUUUCUGCUAUUGGAAAUUAGAGCUCUGCAUAAAAACUACGAAGACUGAGCUCAGCGCAGGACGGAAGCUUCCUGGAAGGCUGCGAUUGGCUGCCUGUCUCGGCAGUGAUAGCAGCCCUGGAGCCGAGGAUGAUUGAUGACGUUGGGGGCAAGGCCGAGCACCGGCAGCAUAAAGCCCCAUAGACGCCUCAAUAAAGAGGCUGGCUAUAGUGGAGAGCCCAGGCCCCGCUCAAUAGGGCCCCUCCGCCUCUGAGGACCCACGGCGUGCAGAGGAGUGCAUGGAGACAGGCAGAGGAAGAGAGGGAGAGAUGCUCUGUUGUUGGAUAAUCUGUUUAGCUAUCGAGCCAGCAGUCGUCUGAGGCUGGAUAAGUGCAGCAACGGAUGUGUGUGGGGUGAGAAUAGCAGGGGUUGGCUGGUGAAGCGCUGGAGGGAGAGACACAGAGAAAGAGAGAAGAAAUAGAUCAUCCACUCCCAGAAGGCAUGAUGGGAAAAAGAGGAAGCGGAUGAACCAAGCUAAAAAUGAGAUCUGCAGUCUGCUUUCCGUGCAUGCUGCUGUUAUCAUCAAAGGCCAAAGAAGUUCAUCCCAAGAAAGCUGCUACCCUGGUGGCUAUUCUCAAGUGUGCAGAUGCAUAACUGCAGUGACCUUUGCUUCAGAAGAUCAUCGAGGCCCCAGUAGGUUGGAUUCCUUCAGUGCUGGGUCCAUGGCUGGGCCCCCAGACCACAUGCAGCAACCCCCCCAGUUCACAGCAGUGGUGAAAAACACAAUUAGGCAGCAAUCAGCUCCUAUAGGUCAGCUUUUAGUGAGUCCAGCACAGCUACAUGGUGUCCUGCAGACUGUCCUGGCUGGAGUUGGCUGGAUGGAGCUCUGAGAGAGAGAUGUCUGUCUCCAGGCAGCCCUGUUUGCACAAAGUCACUUUUACCUAAUCUGUUUCUAUUUGUAUAUGUGUGGGGAUUGGAUUCCUACAAGCAUAAGCUUCUUCCAAUCAAAUUUUCAAAGUCUUGUAUUGACUUAUUUUAUUUAAUGUAAUUUUUGUUUUGAUUUGAAAUAAACAAUUGAAUUGAAUUAUAUUGUAUUUCCAGGUUUAAGAAUUAAAAAGAAAGAGUCCUUAAUUCACAACAGCUGCUUUGUUUAUUGUCUUAUCGGUUAUCAAGUUUGAAUAUUUUAUAUGAUCACUUUUUCCCUGCUGUUUCUGAAAAUAAUCUUUUAAAGUUUCCUCAAAUCAUUCAAA